rnacentral:rRNA from 1 species
CGGCGAGCGAAGCGGGAAAAGCUCAAAUUUGUAAUCUGGCGUCUACGACGUCCGAGUUGUAAUCUCGAGAAGUGUUUUCCGUGAUAGACCGCAUACAAGUCUCUUGGAACAGAGCGUCAUAGUGGUGAGAACCCAGUACACGAUGCGGAUGCCUAUUACUUUGUGAUACACUUUCGAAGAGUCGAGUUGUUUGGGAAUGCAGCUCAAAUUGGGUGGUAAAUUCCAUCUAAAGCUAAAUAUUGGCGAGAGACCGAUAGCGAACAAGUACCGUGAGGGAAAGAUGAAAAGCACUUUGGAAAGAGAGUUAACAGUACGUGAAAUUGUUGGAAGGGAAACACAUGCAGCCAGACUUGCUAUUCGGGGCAACUCGAUUGGCAGGCCCGCAUCAGUUUUUCGGGGCGGAAAAUCAUAGAGAGAAGGUAGCAAUUUCGGUUGUGUUAUAGCUCUUUAUUGGAUUCGCCCUGGGGGACUGAGGAACGCAGCGUGCUUUUAGCAUAAGCUUCGGCUUAUCCACGCUUAGGAUGCGGGUGUAAUGGCUGUAUAUGACCCGUCUUGAAACACGGACCA